UGUUUCGGCUAGGGGGCCAUCCCGGCUUACCAACCCGAUGCAAACUGCGAAUACCGGAGAAUGUUAUCACGGGAGACACACGGCGGGUGCUAACGUCCGUCGUGAAGAGGGAAACAACCCAGACCGCCAGCUAAGGUCCCAAAGUCAUGGUUAAGUGGGAAACGAUGUGGGAAGGCCCAGACAGCCAGGAUGUUGGCUUAGAAGCAGCCAUCAUUUAAAGAAAGCGUAAUAGCUCACUGGUCGAGUCGGCCUGCGCGGAAGAUGUAACGGGGCUAAACCAUGCACCGAAGCUGCGGCAGCGACGCUUAUGCGUUGUUGGGUAGGGGAGCGUUCUGUAAGCCUGUGAAGGUGUGUCGUGAGGCAUGCUGGAGGUAUCAGAAGUGCGAAUGCUGACAUAAGUAACGAUAAAGCGGGUGAAAAGCCCGCUCGCCGGAAGACCAAGGGUUCCUGUCCAACGUUAAUCGGGGCAGGGUGAGUCGACCCCUAAGGCGAGGCCGAAAGGCGUAGUCGAUGGGAAACGGGUUAAUAUUCCCGUACUUGGUGUUACUGCGAAGGGGGGACGGAGAAGGCUAUGUUGGCCGGGCGACGGUUGUCCCGGUUUAAGCGUGUAGGUGUGUGUUCCAGGUAAAUCCGGUUCACUUUAACACUGAGGCGUGACGACGAGGCACUACGGUGCUGAAGCAACAAAUGCCCUGCUUCCAGGAAAAGCCUCUAAGCAUCAGGUAACAUCAAAUCGUACCCCAAACCGACACAGGUGGUCAGGUAGAGAAUACCAAGGCGCUUGAGAGAACUCGGGUGAAGGAACUAGGCAAAAUGGUGCCGUAACUUCGGGAGAAGGCACGCUGACACGUAGGUGAAGUGAUUUACUCAUGGAGCUGAAGUCAGUCGAAGAUACCAGCUGGCUGCAACUGUUUAUUAAAAACACAGCACUGUGCAAACACGAAAGUGGACGUAUACGGUGUGACGCCUGCCCGGUGCCGGAAGGUUAAUUGAUGGGGUCAGCGCAAGCGAAGCUCCUGAUCGAAGCCCCGGUAAACGGCGGCCGUAACUAUAACGGUCCUAAGGUAGCGAAAUUCCUUGUCGGGUAAGUUCCGACCUGCACGAAUGGCGUAAUGAUGGCCAGGCUGUCUCCACCCGAGACUCAGUGAAAUUGAACUCGCUGUGAAGAUGCAGUGUACCCGCGGCAAGACGGAAAGACCCCGUGAACCUUUACUAUAGCUUGACACUGAACAUUGAGCCUUGAUGUGUAGGAUAGGUGGGAGGCUUUGAAGCGUGGACGCCAGUCUGCGUGGAGCCGACCUUGAAAUACCACCCUUUAAUGUUUGAUGUUCUAACGUGGACCCGUAAUCCGGGUUGCGGACAGUGUCUGGUGGGUAGUUUGACUGGGGCGGUCUCCUCCUAAAGAGUAACGGAGGAGCACGAAGGUUGGCUAAUCCUGGUCGGACAUCAGGAGGUUAGUGCAAUGGCAUAAGCCAGCUUGACUGCGAGCGUGACGGCGCGAGCAGGUGCGAAAGCAGGUCAUAGUGAUCCGGUGGUUCUGAAUGGAAGGGCCAUCGCUCAACGGAUAAAAGGUACUCCGGGGAUAACAGGCUGAUACCGCCCAAGAGUUCAUAUCGACGGCGGUGUUUGGCACCUCGAUGUCGGCUCAUCACAUCCUGGGGCUGAAGUAGGUCCCAAGGGUAUGGCUGUUCGCCAUUUAAAGUGGUACGCGAGCUGGGUUUAGAACGUCGUGAGACAGUUCGGUCCCUAUCUGCCGUGGGCGCUGGAGAACUGAGGGGGGCUGCUCCUAGUACGAGAGGACCGGAGUGGACGCAUCACUGGUGUUCGGGUUGUCAUGCCAAUGGCACUGCCCGGUAGCUAAAUGCGGAAGAGAUAAGUGCUGAAAGCAUCUAAGCACGAAACUUGCCCCGAGAUGAGUUCUCCCUGAGACUUAGAGUCUCCUGAAGGAACGUUGAAGACGACGACGUUGAUAGGCCGGGUGUGUAAGCGCAGCGAUGCGUUGAGCUAACCGGUACUAAUGAACCGUGAGG
rnacentral:rRNA from 1 species